CCGCCAUUCUCUUUGGUAGGGCAGAUGUUUAGAACCGCUGUCUUCAAAGUGAAUAAAAAGUCACUUUGUAACACUGCCCACCUCAAAGAAGCAUAAGGAGUAAUUAACUGACAAGACAGCGUUACUUAGAUAGUUAUGCAAGAACUGGGCCACGGGACUUGCACCCUUAACCUCAUUUGAACCCUUAUCAGUGGCUCAGGAUGUAACCAUGUGACGGCUGCUGCCAUCUCUGCCACCACCUGGCGCUCUGUUCGGGGGCUAGCUUCGAGAUAAGGAAGGCCUUGCUCUAGUAAAUCAACAACAGCACGCUCCAGUGCACCAAACUUACCUUGCUGCAGGACCAGGCGGCAAGGAUAUGGGCUCAUUCCUUGGGUGCAACAAAUUAAACAUAUCUAAAACUAAGCUCAUAACAUCUUUCCCUACAACCUUGUAUUGGUCAUUUCAUUAACUAGCCAGGAAACUGGGAGGCAUCAUGGACGCCUGCCAUUCCUGAGCCCCUGGAGUUCCCUGGGGCAUGAGUAUUGUUUCCAGUGUUCUGGGCCCCUACACUCAUAAAGCAUAGAAUGAAUUUCACUCUGUUCUCAUGCCCCUGGUGAAAUGUCGCUGCAGACCAAAAAUAUAAAUACGAACCCCAAAUCCACGUGGUAUUGAUAUACACAGUCAAGAUAUAUUUCUUAGCCCUUUGAUGAGAUGCUUCUAGUGGAAAAUGGAUCAAUAUAACAAAAUAUAACCUCUUUGAAAGUCUCUGGAAAAAAGUAACCUUUGCCAUACCAAGGAAAUCUGAGGAAACACCUUGAUCUAAUACAAAAACCAUUGUUGCAACAGUCUUGUAUAAUGAAACCAGAAUGAUCUCCUCAGUGAGGCAUGCUUGUGUUUUACCUGUGGAAUGGAACAUCCUAAAGGAAGAUCUCCCUGGAUGCAUCAGGACCAAUUUCUUUUCAAGGAGUCGAGUAAGGACAUGUAGAGAUGGAUCUCUCCAUGAAUGGAACUCAACUAAGGAAGAAAUUGAAAGACACAUUCCAGGCAGUGCAAAUAUUGACUCUCCAAAGGAACGUGUAAGAACCAACUUGUCAAUUGGUGUGUCUCCGGAUCAGUAGCUGUUAAAAAGUGAUACAGCCCUUGAUCAUUAUUAAAGUUUAAAUAAUCUUUUGCUUUGAUUCGCAUCAGGUUUUAAAUAUGAUGCUUGAGAAAGAUUGAGAGUAAGAGAAAUCUAUAGCAACUAAAAAAUCCUUUCUAAUUGUAAAUUUUCAUUUCACUUAUAUGCAAAUUUCAGUUACUGUGUUCUUAGCAAUCGAAUUCUUAGAUCACAAACAUGAAUGAGGACUCUAAGAAAAAUAUCAAACUUUUAUGUGAAAUUUGUUCUUUCUGCCUUUCUUCUUUCUGGCACUUUCAUAUUUAGUCAUCAUAUUUCCUAUUUUGCUUGCUUAAUUGCCACAUACAACAAGAUUAGCCGACGGGGAAAGAAAACAUCUCAUUUGAGGGCAGUGAAGGAAAGGCCCUUUCUCUCUCUCUCUCUCUCACACACACACACACACACACACACACACUGGAGGAGGGUUAUCUGCAUGCAGAUGCUCAUUUGGAAUUCAGAACAUUUUUUCCUGCAGAAAUAAGAAACUAUAAUAGUAUAAGUAUAUAGUUUACCUUCAUUAUAAGUUAAAAUAAGAGUUUGUGGGCUGGCCUGGAAAUACACCAUUUUAUAACGUUGUACACAUGGGAGAAUUUCACUCUGAAAUCUAAACGGCUGUUUUCAAAAGAAACUAUUAGAGCACACUGCGUUGUCUGGGUCUGGCUCUGCCCGCCCUCCGCCCUGCUCAGGGCUGUGCUCAGCAGCAUGGAGAAGACAAGGAAGAAAGAGACCUGGUUCCUGAUCUCAAGGCAUUUGCAGUUGACAUUGAGAGACAGGGCCGACAACGAAAAGAUGAUUAUUACAAGAGGGAAAUGGUAUGCGUCCCCUCUCCCAAGUAACAUUGGAAUACAUUCAUUUAUCUGUUCAUUCAGCAUCUGUUUCUUGACUUUACAGUAAUUAUCUCUCUUUUUUAUAUUUUAAAUGAUAUUUCUAAUGUAAAUAAUACAUGAUUUCCAUAGACUGUUAGAGCAACACAGACUUAUUUGUAGUGACAAAAUCAGAAAGAACUUGAAUGUCUGCUGGCAACUGAAGGAUUGAAUAAAGUAUGGUUGAUCAUCCUAUGGAAUGUUAUGCACCAAUAAAAAACAAAUUAAGAAUGUUUGUUGAUCUGGAGAGGGGACCAGGAUGCAUUAUAAAGAAUAAAAAUAAAGAUGCAAAGAAAUAUUCAUAUUAUGAUCUUUUUGCAAACACAACAGUGACCCCCCCUCCCCCAAAAAAAGUUUGAAUUAAAAAGUAUAAAGGGGGGGACCAGCCAGGUGGCAUAGUGGUUAAGCUUACGCACUCUGCUUUGGUGGCCUGGGGUUCACAGGUUCAGAUCCUGGGCACAGACCUAGCACCACCCACAUAAAAAACAUACAGGCAGACUGGCACAGAUGUUAGCUCAGCAACAAUCUUCCUCACAAAAAAAGGAAAAAAAAAAGGAUAAGGGUGUAUACACAAAGCUGUUAAUAUUGGUCACCUUGAGGACAGGUGGGUUACUAAUGUUUUUCUUCAUUUAUCUUCAUCUUGGGGGAAAAAAUGAUAAUUUUAAAACAAAAUGAAAAUUUGGAAAUACAGAGUGGAUUAAAGAGAAAAAUUAAAAUCACUUUGAUUUGAUUUCUAUUAUGUUAAAUGUGUGUGUGUGUGUGUGUGUGUGAACUGCCCUGGAUAAUUAAUUCGAAAUGAUUUUUCUUGACCAUCACUAUGUUUAUGUCAACUCAGGGGCCUCCUGGCAAGACUGCUUUAACCCAAAGCCACCCAGUAGACCCACGAUGGAGACCCCUUUAAGCAGAUUCCUUAGGCUUGGGAGAGAAAAUUUAUGGUCACCAAAUCAGGAAAUUUUGAGGAACGUGAUUUUCCAGAUUUAAAAGGCACCCAAUGUCUGCACAAUACAUGAAUGAAGAUAUGUUGUGGAGAUCUACCUCAAGACUUUCACCACAACUAAGAAGUAAAGGGACAGUUUGGCCAUGAAAGAGUAUCAAGGACUGGACUUGACCUCCUGCAGAAAACAACUAGAAAACUGAACAAAACACGAAACAGCUGUUUUCAGGCAUUGAGCAACAGGCAGCACAGGACUGUGAUCCUUGAGAAAAGGGAAAUGAAGUGAGCCCUGUGCUUUGUGUUAGAGGCAAUUUCCGUACUGUAGUUGCAAUGAUGAGGGGACCCGAAUAGAACCAGGAAAGGGGCUGAAGAUACAAAGAUCAGUGAUCAGAGAGCUGGAAGUAGUGAGGCAGAGUUCUCAAAAAGAGGUAGGGAUGCAAAACAGAGCUCUAGAAAUGUUUAUGGUCCCCUUUAGUGUUUGCUGAGGGUGGGACCAGGCAUGUGGAAACCCAUCCUCCAAAAUGCUGGACAAAGAAUGACUGGGGCUGGUACACUAAAUAUUCCCAGAGCCCAGGCAGAUCUUGGAAUUGAUCAGAUUCCUAACAGGCAGAGUGGAGAGGCCUUACUAAUCAUCAAAGGCCUUUAUGCCUCUCUGGUAGGGCUGAACAAUCCUUGGAGUGAAGGCUACUUUCUGUAUGUCUUAGCAGAAUUAAAAACAGGUCUUAAAGGAAUAAAGCUUACAUGAAAGUAAA
ensembl:lncRNA